ACGACCUUACAUGAACAAGAUUUGUUCUAUAGGCUCGUACAUCUGUAUCCUUGAUUACUAAAGAGACAGGAAUCUAUGUCUGGUUGAUGAGAUGUUGCCGCUAGACCAGAGCGUGAUUAACGGUGUUGUGGCUGCCGGCUUUGGCUUGGGGGUCACAUUGCGUAGGAGAUUGAUCUAAGUCAAAUGGGCUUGGCCGGGGGGGUCUGUGCGGUUGUCUGAUAGACU